rnacentral:tRNA from 1 species
GCUAUGGUAGCUUAGUGGUUAAGAGUUUGACUGCUAAUCAAAAGGUUGGCAGUUUGAAUCCACCAGGCA